AUGAACGCUGGCGGCGCGCCUAAUACAUGCAAGUCGAGCGAGAAGACGUAGCAAUACGUUUGUAAAGCGGCGAACGGGUGAGGAAUACAUGGGUAACCUACCCUCGAGUGGGGAAUAACUAGCCGAAAGGUUAGCUAAUACCGCGUACGCUUCUUGGACUUCGGUUCAGGGAGGAAAGCGAUACCGUGGGUAUCGCGCUCUUGGAUGGGCUCAUGUCCUAUCAGCUUGUUGGGAGGUAACGGCUCACCAAGGCUUCGACGGGUAGCUGGUCUGAGAGGACGAUCAGCCACACUGGCACUGCGACACGGGCCAGACUCCUACGGGAGGCAGCAGUAAGGAAUAUUGCGCAAUGGGCGAAAGCCUGACGCAGCGACGCCGCGUGGGGGA
rnacentral:rRNA from 1 species